AAAGACAUAGUUGAGACAUAUCAAAUAUGCAAUCCACAGUUCAAGUAUUCUGAAGAAUUAAAUCCAAAAAGAUAUUUGACCAGCCCAUCAAUUGGCGUCCUGAAUGAUGGUUAUGACAAUGUGAAUUCUGAUCUGAUUCUGACUGUAAACUUUGCCUUGGUCAAUCUAGAGGCACAGAGAAGAUACAUUGUCAAAGAUGUUCUUGGCCAUGG
rnacentral:misc_RNA from 1 species